rnacentral:lncRNA from 12 species
AAGGCAUUUAGGUCAUUUAUGAAUGACUGAUGUUUAAUAGAUAUGGAGAUGUUAAGUCUACUUGAGGACAAGGGUGAUGGUUUUUAUAUUGCUAUUCUUGGUUAUUUAGGCACAUACAAGAUGCUCAGUAAAACUUCGUUGAAGUUAAUAAUGUUCAUUGUUUUAAAUUAUUCUUCUCCAUUUGGUUGACUGUCUUAAAAUAUAGUCCAUUAUAAUUUUGCUCAGAAGCAAGGCCAAUUUUCAUUGUUUUUAUCUACAUUAAAAUUUUACAUUUAAUUAUAGUUUAAAUUUGGACCACAAAUGCUUGAAUCACUAGUGGUCUCUUUCUCCUAGUUUGUCUCGGGUAUGUUCCUAAACCAUGGGUAUGUCCAGUAGGACAAAAGACUACUACUUUACUGUUGGAGUUUGUGAUCUACCAUCUUGUCUUCUAAAAACAACAACAACAACAACAACAACAACAACAACAACAACAUUUACCUUUAAUAUCUGUUUGGCAACUGCUGUGUUGAAGAGAUUUCACAAAUUUGAAUAAAGAGGGCAACAAAUACCGAGUGGCAGUUUUGUUUGUUUUAAUUUAUUCAUGAUCAUGAAUGUAAGAAUAGUAUACUUGCUUUCAAAGAUAGCAUAUGAUGAUGAUGGUGAUGAUGAUGGUGAUGAUGAUGAUGAUGAUGAUGCCUCUCUCUCUAUUGUUCUUUCCUUUUGCUUUUGACUAAGUCUUUGUCAUUUAAAAAAUAAAUCAGCCAAAGAGAGGACCCAGUUAUUCUUUGACUGGAUAGAUCAAGAGCAAACCAGAAGAGAAUCUCUGUCUCUACCCAACUAAACCUCGUUUCGGUACCGUCACUUCUCUAUUUAUGGAUGGAAAUACUGCAGCUUUCUGGACUGCAUACCCUGCUCCCUGGAGAGGUUCCACCCACCAGCUGGAAGGAGAGGAAGUGAAUGAAAGGACAGGAGGAGCCCGAACACCAUGUCACUCUGGAAGGGAGACAGCAGCAACCAGGCUGUGCAAGGUUGUUUUGUUUUGUUUUCUUUUCCCCUUUCUCUUUCUUUUUUUUUUUUUUCUUUUUCAUUUUUUUGUUUUCUUUCUUUCUUUCUUCUUUCUUUUUUUCCCUUUUUCUUUAAGGUGGGGAAAGAGACAAACAGGAGACAGGAAGCUGAUCUGCAAGGAUUCAGAGUUGUGCUAA